rnacentral:tRNA from 1 species
GGUUAUGUCGUUUAAAUAGGAUAUUAAAUUGCAAGUUUAAAGGUAGAUUUAUUGUUUCUUAUAACCU